UUCUACCGAUAAUGGACAAAGAGACAGUUUGUUGGUGUUGUUCUUAUAUCAGUCAGGGGCAGAGCAGAUAGCAGUCCUUUGUUCAUCCUCGCUUGAUGCCUGGCUUGGAGGCCAGAGCUGUUUUAUGUCUAGGACACAUAA